rnacentral:rRNA from 1 species
GACGAACGCUGGCGGCGUGCUUAACACAUGCAAGUCGAACGGAAAGGCCCUGCUUUUGUGGGGUGCUCGAGUGGCGAACGGGUGAGUAACACGUGAGUAACCUGCCCUUGACUUUGGGAUAACUUCAGGAAACUGGGGCUAAUACCGGAUAGGAGCUCCUGCUGCAUGGUGGGGGUUGGAAAGUUUCGGCGGUUGGGGAUGGACUCGCGGCUUAUUAGCUUGUUGGUGGGGUAGUGGCUUACCAAGGCCUUGACGGGUAGCCGGCCUGAGAGGGUGACCGGCCACAGUGGGACUGAGAUAGGGCCCAGACUCAUACGGGAGGCAGCAGUGGGGAAUAUUGCGCGAUGGGCGGAGGCCUGAUGCAGGAACGCCGGGUGCGGGAUGACGGCCUUCGGGUUGUAAACCGCUUUCGCCUGUGACGAAGCGUGAGUGACGGUAAUGUGUAAAGAAGCACCGGCUAACUACGUG